UAUUUUCAAAACAGUGGCUGUCGUUUUAUAUUCAAUACAUCAAAAAACGGGAACUUUCCAUUACCAAACCAUUUGUGUUCUUCAAUCGUUUCCAUUACAUCUCAAUCGUUUUCAUUACUCUGCUGUGUGUUCUGUUAUCUCUGAUCAUCUACACAGCACAUGACAUCAGGAUCUACGUUUCUUCAUGGUAUCAGAGCAGACGAUCUGAAGCUGCUUGUCACACUGCGAUCUUCGACCUCCAGUUGUGCUUCACUGCGAUUUCUGUCUAAACUCGAAUCUGGUAUUGUUUCAAUAUUUUUUACACAUUCUAAACUCAUUUAUUACAUCUGAAUCUUAAACUUCCGCUGCAAAUCGAAUCCCUAAAACUUCACUAUUCUGACCUAAUAAACAAACUGUAAUACACAUCUCAUAUUGACUGUCUACUGCAAGUCUAUCAUAUUUCAUGUUAUUCACACUAUCAAAUCUUUAAAUCGACUCAUACUACACAUACUGCUAUACUAUUUAAAUAAAAUAAAAUCGA
rnacentral:lncRNA from 1 species